rnacentral:rRNA from 1 species
CAGCAGCCGCGGUAAAACGAAGGGGGCUAGCGUUGCUCGGAAUCACUGGGCGUAAAGGGUGCGUAGGCGGGUCUUUAAGUCAGGGGUGAAAUCCUGGAGCUCAACUCCAGAACUGCCUUUGAUACUGAAGAUCUUGAGUUCGGGAGAGGUGAGUGGAACUGCGAGUGUAGAGGUGAAAUUCGUAGAUAUUCGCAAGAACACCAGUGGCGAAGGCGACUCUCUGGUCUGUAACUGACGCUGAGGAGCGAAAGCGUGGGGAGCGAACAGGAUUAGAUACCCCGGUAGUCCCUGUCUCUUAUAC